rnacentral:rRNA from 1 species
AGUUUGAUUAUGGCUCAGAUUGGAACGCUGGCGGGAUGCUUUACACAUGCAAGUCGAACGGCAGCACGGACUUCGGUCUGGUGGCGAGGGCGAACGGGUGAGUAAUGUAUCGGAACGUGCCUAGUAGCGGGGAUAAUCUUACGCUGCGCAGCUAAUACCGCAUAUUGCCCUUCGGGGGAAAGCGGGGGACCUUUCGGGUCUCGCACUAUUAGAUGGGCUGAUAUCGGAUUAGCUAGUUGGUGGGGUAACGGCUCACCAAGGCUAAUGAUCCGUAGCUGGUUUGAGAGGACGACCAGCCACACUGGGACUGAGACACGGCCCAGACUCCUACGUGGAGGCAGCAGUGGGGAAUUUUGGACAAUGGGGAACCCUGAUCCAGCCAUCCCAAGCAAGGAUGAAGGCCUUCGGUUGUAAAGCACUUUUGGCAGAAGAAACGGCACGGGAUACUCCCGUGCAACUGACGGUACUAAGAGAAUAAGCACCGGCUAACUACGUGCCAGCAGCCGCGGUAAUACGUAGGGUGCAAGCGUUAAUCGGAAUUACUGGGCGUAAAGCGUGCGCAGGCGGUUCGGAAGAAAGAUGUGAAAUCCCAGAGCUUAACUUUGGAACUGCAUUUUUAACUACCGAGCUAGAGUGUGUCAGAGGGGAGGUGGAAUUCGCGUAGCAGUGAAAUGCGUAGAUAUGCGGAGGAACACCGAUGGCGAAGGCAGCCUCCUCGGGAUAACACUGACGCCUGGCACGAAAGCGUGGGGAGCAAACAGGAUUAGAUACCCUGGCGGUAGUUCACGCCUCAACCAUGUCAACUAGCUGUUGGGCCUCGGGCCUUGGUAGCGCAGCUAACGCGGUGAAGUUGACCGCCUGUGGAGUAAAGGGCUCAAAGAUUAAAACUCAAAGGAAUUGACGUGGACCCGCACAAGCGUGGUGAUGUGGAUUAAUUGAUUAUGCAACGCGAAAAAACUCACCACCUGACAUGUCUGGAAUCCCAAAGAGAUCGAGUGCUCGUGAGAACCGGAACACAGGUGCCGUAUGGCUACUGCCGCUGUCGUAGAUGUUGUUGCUUCCCACCAGCGCAACCCUUGUCGACAGUUGCUGCCGAAAGGCACUCUAUCGAGACUGGUCAUGACAAACCGGAGGAAGGUGGGGAUGACGUCAAGUCCUCAUGGCCCUUAUGGCAGGGCUUCGCACGUCAUACAAUGGUCGGGACAGAGGGUCGCCAACCCGCGAGGGGGAGCCAAUCCCAGAAACCCGAUCGUAGUCCGGAUCGCAGUCUGCAACUCUCGGACUGCGUGUGUCGGAACUGCUAGUAAUCGCGGAUCAGCAUGUCGCGGUGAAUACGUUCCUCGGGUCUUGUACACACUCCACCCGUCAGCACCAUGGGGAAAAAGGGUUUGCUCAGAAUAGUUAGCCUAACCGUAAGGAGGGCGAUUACCACGUAGACCAUGAUUCGGGGUGAAGUCGUAUCACGCA